GGAAAAUAACGUAAAUUCUAGCUAAAAAUGCUUAUUCAUAGAGUUGAGUAACAAGCUGGUUGCACCACAAUUUAAUUUUAAUAUUUUGGGUCCAAAGGAACCCAAGGGGCUCGCACGUUUAAUCGAGUAAAAUCAAUUUUGCGCCGAUACACAAGUUCAUUAUGCAAUACUGUUGCUUCCACACAAUUUCAGUCCAAAGUCAAAACAAUACCCUUUUCACCCAAAACAAUUUGAUGAACUCCCUGAAAUUUCAAAAGGGCCAAUGUAAUUUCACGCACAAAAAAGUAUACAUAUAAGCAAAUAACGGAAGUUUGAGAAUACC
rnacentral:misc_RNA from 1 species